AUUGAACGCUGGCGGCAUGCCUUACACAUGCAAGUCGAACGGCAGCAUGAUCUAGCUUGCUAGAUUGAUGGCGAGUGGCGAACGGGUGAGUAAUACAUCGGAACGUGCCCUGUAGUGGGGGAUAACUAGUCGAAAGAUUAGCUAAUACCGCAUACGACCUGAGGGUGAAAGUGGGGGACCGCAAGGCCUCAUGCUAUAGGAGCGGCCGAUGUCUGAUUAGCUAGUUGGUGAGGUAAAGGCUCACCAAGGCGACGAUCAGUAGCUGGUCUGAGAGGACGAUCAGCCACACUGGGACUGAGACACGGCCCAGACUCCUACGGGAGGCAGCAGUGGGGAAUUUUGGACAAUGGGCGAAAGCCUGAUCCAGCAAUGCCGCGUGUGUGAAGAAGGCCUUCGGGUUGUAAAGCACUUUUGUCCGGAAAGAAAUGGCUCAGGUUAAUACCUGGGGUCGAUGACGGUACCGGAAGAAUAAGGACCGGCUAACUACGUG
rnacentral:rRNA from 1 species